rnacentral:rRNA from 1 species
CAGCAGCCGCGGUAAUACGAAGGGUGCGAGCGUUAAUCGGAAUUACUGGGCGUAAAGCGCGCGUAGGUGGUUUGAUAAGCGAUAUGUGAAAUCCCCGGGCUCAACCUGGGAACAGCAUGUCGAACUGUCAGGCUAGAGUAUGGUAGAGGGGUGUGGAAUUUCCUGUGUAGCGGUGAAAUGCGUAGAUAUAGGAAGGAACAUCAGUGGCGAAGGCGACACCCUGGACCGAUACUGACACUGAGGCGCGAAAGCGUGGGUAGCGAACAGGAUUAGAUACCCUGGUAGUCCACGCCGUAAACGAUGUCAACUAGCCGUUGGGGGGCUUGUCCCUUCAGUGGCGGAGCUAACGCGAUAAGUUGACCGCCUGGGGAGUACGGCCGCAAGGUUAAAACUCAAAGGAAUUGACGG